GCGUCGCUGUGUCAGUGUUGCUCGUUUCACCGGUCCCUUGUUGCACUGUGUUCUCCGCAUGCAUACCUGUGUGUCCUGCAGGUUGGCGGCGUGACGCUCAGUGACCGCCGCACGUGACGCCGCAGUGGUCAACCGGGGCUGUCAGCUGAUCAUCGGAGCGUGCUCCUGUGGCUGCCUGCUGGUUAACUUCGUCCUCAGAGUGACAGGCCACCAUGCAGGAGUUCAAAUUUCCCAAGACUUUUCCUGUGUGUGGAAGCUGUGCAGCGAGGCAAAGGGAGGGUGACCUCGGGAAACUGUUCAUGUGACCAGAAACAUCGCCACGUUGCCUUUCACUCCUUUGCUCCUCUGAACCAAACACUAACAAAA